ACAUUAUUCUCAUGCGAUGUUUCAGGUGGUAUGGCAAGUGUAAACACAUGUAUCGGAUAUGGGUCACAAUUGAAAGAAUGUGUAAAAAAAUCGGAUAUACAGUAGGCAACAAAUCAGAAUUGGGCAUCAAGACCUGCAGUGUAAACGAGGCCUCAGAGGCAUGCGCAUGACGCAUACAUCCUACAUCAUCUGCCGGAACAUCAUCCGUGUACAACAGUCAGCAGAAGUGAGAGAAAAGUGUUUAUUAUGUUUAAAAUAUGGAUAUUUUUCUUACAAAAACGCAUGGAUUCACUACAGGAGGCCUUUAUUCAUGCCCCAGAGCCGUUUGAGGGAUGUUUUAUUAUGUAUGUGAACGCUUUAACAUGUUUUUGGACUGUUAAUCAAAAACACCUGCCUACCCCAUUCUAAUGCUUAGAAUAUUUUUAAUAUAACUCCGAUUGGAUUUGUCUGAAAGAAGAAAGUUAUAUACACCUAUGAUGCCUCGAGGAUGAGUAAAUCACAGGCAAAUUUUAAUUUUUGGGUGAACUAACCCUUUAAUUUGUUUGUUUCACCUGUAGGUGAUGCUGCUAUAGACCAACUGAGAGAAGAGAAAGAGUUUGCUGAGGGACAGGUAAAACUCUUCUGCUGUGUACUUGGAUUCUGUUUUUAGGAUUUGUUUGUAAAUUUCUAAAUUCUGCCAUGUUUUCCUGCAUGGAUCAGAUCAACUUCCUGAACUCAGUCAUUGUGGACCUCCAGAGGAAGAAUGAAGAACUAAAGGUGAAGCUGAAGAAAAUGGCAUUGACCGAGUUCAUCGGAAAUGAUGAAAAUGAUGGUCUUGGUGAGGUCAAAAAGAAGAAGAAAGCUCCACCACGCGUUUUCUGCGAUAUCUGUGACUGCUUUGACCUGCACGACACAGAGGACUGUCCCACUCAAACGCAAUCCCCAGACUCGCCUCCACACACCACAUACCACGGGAGCCGCAGCGGCGAACGACCGUACUGCGACAUCUGUGAGGCGUUCGGUCACUGGACAGACUCUUGCAACGAUGACCAAACCUUCUGAAUCUCCCCUCAACCCCUCGGCCUGUGAGCAGGCUAUGCACAGUUCAACCAGAUUAUACGCUAUUUUUGUACACAGUAUAUAUACAUUCGAACCUCUUGUACAUUCCCUAAAUGAAUCCGCCCAAAUGAAGGCUAAGGUAUGCUGCAUUUAUGGAAAUUGAAUGUUAUGAAGGUAAAAGAUAUUUCUGUGUUAUCAAUACUCUUUUGUGCGUUUCAUACGUUUUUCACUGUCCUGUGUUGAUUAAUCUAAUGAUGAAUUACCAGCAAGAAAAUUGGGAACGGUUUAGUGAUACUCUGCAGUGUAUUUAAAGCUGCUGUGUGUAAUUUCUAGUGGCACAAAAUGGAAUUGCAAAAAUAAUGACCAUUUCCAAACAGAUUUUCCUCUUUACUAUUGUAGCUCCGCCCCAAAAUCAACCCAUUGGUCAGAAGCUGACAUUUCAGGGUGCUCAAACAAACAGCAAUGUUUUGAAAGCUUCUCAAAUCUGUAGCCUGUUCGGAUUGGUAUACUAGCACACUGAGUAUUGCAUAAUAGUGACAGAAUACUGCCCACUAUUUUUUAUAGCAUGUGAAAUGGUACGCAUUAUGCAACAAUAAAAAUUAAGCAAAAUUUUAAUUUCA
ensembl:lncRNA